rnacentral:misc_RNA from 1 species
UUUGCUUCCAUCAAAAUUCCUUAUCUCCAGUCCGGCGACCGGCGUUCCAUUUUCCGGCCAAAUAGUAGUAAGAAAAUACUCAAGUUGCCCCGAUGCAACGUUGAAAACUCAACAAGUAACUCAUCAAACAAUACUAGUACUAGUAGCCAAGAUUCUGAGUCUGAAAAUUUGCUGCUCAAAAUGGCUUGGUAUGGUUCUGAAUUCCUCGGGAUUGCUGCAUCG